rfam:Pelodiscus sinensis unplaced genomic scaffold scaffold1072, whole genome shotgun sequence.
UCAAAGGCUCUUUUAAGAGCCACUCCAAAACUUUCCCUGAAAGAGCGU